AAGACGAUGCAAGUUUUUGGUAACUAAAAAUCCCUAGUGCUGCAAAAACGAAUCAGUUUGUGAAGGAACUAUCGAAAGCAAAUAGUGCCGCUCUCGUCAUCCACAACAGUGUCGUGCACGUAGGCCAUGUCCCCAGAGGUUCGACGCUCGCUCUCCGCCCCGCCAAAGAAAACCGCAAGGUGCCUCGCCCCGUUCCACGCGUCUAAAGAUAUCAACUUAACAAGAACGACGGAAAAAAAGAAUAAUGCUCACGACUCUGGGCAACCAGGCACAGGCAGACGAACAGGACAAAGUGACAAACGCAGGGCGUGAAACGGUCGGCCGUAAAACGCCGUGGCCAGGCUUUCCUUCAAUUUGUAACCGAAUGAAGCCACGACAGCGCGCGAACGUGCGAACUAAUUGAAUCUGUAAUUGAGGCUAAUUAAAACUUAUUAUAUCGGCACUGAUUACCAUCUGGCUCGGAAAUGUCGAGUCAUAGGAUAAAAGAAACGUCAUUUAUUAGCAACUCUCUACGACAAUGUAAUGUCACGUACGACAGAAAUCUUCGAGAAGCUGUAACACUAGGAUUACAAAUCCCUAUCAAACGAAUCCUUCAGGAAUCACAAAAUUAAAACUCCACGAUGAAAAAUUAGAAACAAUUCUAUUUCGAUACGUCGUCAAAAUUUAAGCACAGAAUAAAGCACAUCUAGAGCAACAAAAGAACAGAUUGCAGCAUAUAAGCUUUCAUAUAUUAUCUUCCAAUUAUCUCCAUGAGAAAUUCGCUAGAAUCGGUACAGCAAUUCGAUUCUGUUCUUCCUCGAUAAUUCUCCCCGAUUGGGAGGAUAAAAGGCAACGAACGCCCCAGUGUUCAGGUAGCUGAGUGUUUCAAACGACACGACGACGUAAAUCGGUUCUGCAAGAAGAACGGGGCAGCCGAUUGGAAAAUCAGAUCGGUCAAAGGAGCCGCGUGCUUUCCACGAGGGUCAGUCCCGACAGCAGAUUAUCUGUCUUCGACGAUGCAACGAGAUUUACGUUAACCAGGAGGGUAGAUCGUGACGGAGAUAGUCGGCGAAAUUCUCGAUCGUCGAACCGGUGUGUUCCCCUUUUUCGCGUAAUUUAUGCAAAGCUUAUUCGCACCGAUGUCUCGUAACCGAGCACUAUUAAUAUCCCUGGCACGCGAGGACAGAAGCAAAACCGGGAAGGAAAAAAGAAAGUAAAGGGAGAAUAAGAAGAUGAGAAAGAAGAAGAUGAGGAAGAAAAAAGGAACAGAAAAAAGAAAGAGAAAAGAAGGGAGCAAAGAGCACGCUCGACAGAUUUGCUCGGUGUGUUUCUCUUUAACAGUACACGUUACUGUACCGUGACCCGCCGUUUUCCAUCUGGCGUUACUGCGUUACCCCGCGGCAGGCUGCACGCGUUUACGAUUUCUUACGCCGAGAAACGGUCACACUUUUUCCCCAGGAAGUGUAACGAUACUGUGUGAAAAAAGGGGGAACGAAACGGAGAAACUAGGAAAAA